UUUAGAUUGACCAACUAAUUUUUCUAAAAAUCGUAAGAAUCAUCCUAGAAAAAGGAGAAUAUUUGGUUAAUAUGUAUAUUAUAUUACAUCUAAAUUUGAGCACUUUAGAUAGAUACAGUAGUUGUUCAAAAAAAAAAUGAUAGAUACAGUAAAAUAAUUUGAUUUAGAACAAAAAAAUAAUAUGGCUAGUCUGUAUGCAUAUGUACACUAACACAGUCAAUAGCCAG
rnacentral:lncRNA from 1 species